AUAAUAUAUGUUUUCCUCGUCAAUUUUAUCGUUGUUAUUAUUGUAUUAAAUAUUUCUUUCGCCGGUACGUACAUCGUCGUUGUUUUUGUUAUCGAAUUUACCGUCCACAGGAAUUAACAAUAACGACGGAAGUAAUAAAUUGAUACGUUGUAGGUGGUGUACGAAGUUACGCACACAUUUGUUUCGCGUUCGUUUGUACGGGUCGUCGCAAACUCGUUGAACAAAUUGAAAAUUCAAUUACACCGAAAUGGUAUAAUAUUUUAAAGAGAAUUGAUAGAUUAUUCCGAAUAUGUAUGUACCCACUCCGAGCUCGAUUAUGAAACGAAUGAAUGUGCGGUUACACAAAGCUCAGAUAUUUUCGAAUAAUGCGUAUCCGUGUACGAGAUCGUUUCGUUCUCGCGGACGACACGUAGCUAAGCAAAAGUUCGAUGGAGUUGCCGUUGGAGUUCCUGAAUAAUGUGGGGAUUCGGGGAUGGUACCAAACACUCGACUUCGGAGCAGGAAACUGGGGAGGUUUAUCUCUCUCUUGUCAAUGACACCGGCUCAAUGGCUUCGUAGAAAAAUCUGCAAUUAACCAGGCGUCAUUAUGCGACAGAGCAUGCUGCGUAUUACUCUCCUCUGAGGAAGCGGCAGUACAAACGCAGCAAUAGAAGGGCAAAGACGUCGAUGGGUACGACGCCGAACGACAACAACACGAGAAAGAGAUCAAGAUAUCCUUGGCAUGAAGGAUGGAACCAAUCAUCUGUCUUUUGGUGGAGUCGUCGCAUGAACUCGGACAUGGCGUUCUCCAAUACUUUGCAGGUAUGUAGGCGUGAUUAAACAAUUGUCAGUUAUUCAUAGACUUCAUACAUGUAUAUUUAUUGGAUGUGACAUGCAUGACAUAGAAUAUAAUAUUGGUAAUAAUUUAUUCUUAUAUAUUAAUUAAUGUACUUUCCUUAUGUUUUAGGUAUUCGGAGAUGCUGCCGCCGUAGCUGCUGUUUGACCGGACUCCCCCUGUUCAUCAGGGGGAGUCCACCGUCCCCUGGGACUUGCGCGGCCUCCCACCGCCCCCGGGGUCCCAGGGGACCCAGUCCCCGAGGACAUGUCUUCGGGGAU